rnacentral:lncRNA from 10 species
UUUGCAAAUAGUAACGACAAAGAUGAUCAAGUUUUAAAUUGCCAUUUGGCAGUGAAGGUGCUAUCCCCGGAAGAUGGAAAAGCAGAUAUUGUGAGAGCCGCUCAGGACUUUUGCCAGUGAGUAGCCCAGAAGCAAAGGAGACCCAAAGAUUUGGAUGUAGAUAUGUUAGUUUACUCAGUUCAAAUGGUUGUCCUGAUCCUGAUUUAGUACUGAAGUUCGGUCCUGUGGACAGCACACGAGGCUUUCUUACCUGGCACAUCAGAUUGACUGAGAUUGUCUCUUUGCCUUCCCAUCUAAACAUCAGUUAUGAGGACUUUUUCUCUGCCCUUCGUCAUUAUGCAGCCUGUGAACAGCGUCUGGGAAAGUCGUGGUCAUUGGUUGCAUAAUUCCAUUUGAGGCUUAUGGAGGAAAGGACCCAAGUGACUCUGAUGUUUAGAAAGCACCUAUGAAACCCUGUACACACCUAGUUCAUAAUCUUCAUAAUUUAUCAACAAACAAAAAAGUGUCUUACUUGAGAGUGAGUGUGUGCGUGUGUGCGUGCACACAUGUGCACGUUUGUAUGUGUGGAAAUAAACAUAAAUGGGGACGUGUUGGAGAAGGAAAUACAUAGACCUACAACUUUGAGCAUAUAGCAGUGAUGUUUUAGGAACUGAAAUGUCACACUUAAUAAAGUCUUCAGCCCAGCUACUUCCCUGUUUUCGUGGGGAGAAGAGGGCCUGAUUAGAACUGUUCUGGUUGUGUUUGGCGGGAGGGGAAUAAAUUUUGUUCAGUCCUUCUUAGUGACCAAACUUUAAUUUUUAAGAAUAAUAUAUUGACUUACUGAACUGAAGCAUUCUGAGUUGAAAGGAGCUCCAGAGGAAAGGAGUUCUGUGUUGCUCACAUGUUAAAAGCUUGCUCACCUUCAGAGCAGAGGGAAUACCUAUCUUCAGAUAUCCGCCCAUUUUCAUCUCUUCAUUAUAGUCAAACAGUGUGACUUGAGAGUGUUG